CUGGAUGUUUGGUGUUCUGAGUUGUCCCAUUUGAACUCUUGUGUUUCAGGAGCACAAUAACCUACAGAGCUGCUGGUGGAAUGCAGAGGGAACUGGAGCACUUUCCAUGACUCUUCGGCUCUGUGAUACAUGCUCAGGCACCUGCCUAGCAAUUAUGAUGGAGAAACUCCCAAACUCUGUGUUGAACCAUGGGGAUCAGGGAGUAUCCUGACAAGGACUGAGAGUUUCAAGAAGAGCCAGGCUCAAGCUUCAAGGAGACAUACGCCUGACCACCCACCAGCCAACAAUGCAACUCUGGAUACAAGUGCCUGUGCCCUUCCUCCAGUUGCUGGAUCUAUGCUCCAUCCGCUUUCAGGAGCUCCAGCUAUGAAGUCCUGGUCAAGCCAGUCAAGAAUGGUUCAAUCAUCCCAGAUCCUGACUUUUGUUUGCAACAGGUACUGGAACUUGGACCAACACCAACAGGUGA
rnacentral:lncRNA from 1 species